rnacentral:rRNA from 1 species
UGUCCGCCCGGGAAUUACGAGCACUAGCUUAAAACCCAAAGGACUUGGCGGUGCUUAAGAUCCACCUAGAGGAGCCUGUUCUUUAACCGAUAACCCCCGUUAAACCUCACCCUCCCUUGUUUUUACCGCCUAUAUACCACCGUCGUCAGCCUACUCCAUGAGGAACUAAUAGUUAGCAUAACUAGCACAGCCCAAAACGUCAGGUCGAGGUGUAGCGUAUGAGAGGGCAAGAAAUGGGCUACAUUCUCUACCCCUAGAGCACACGAAAAAUGUACUGAAAUUUAUACUAGAAGGAGGAUUUAGCAGUAAGGGAAAAACAGAGCGUUCCCCUGAAACCGGCCCUAAAGCGCGCACACACCGCCCGU